AAGAUCCCUGAGAGAUGAUCAGGUAGAUAGGUCAGAAGUGGAAGGCCAGUGAUGGUUGGAGCGGACUGAUACUAAUCGAUCGAGGACUUAACCAAAA
rnacentral:rRNA from 1 species